ACUCAAUCGCUCAGAUCUGGAAAAAUCUCAACACCUCGCAGCCGCACCUCGCUGUCCCAUCUUCUUCUCCUCUCUGUCAGUGUCUCGCCGAACACCGAACCAAACCACACUGAGAAAUCGACGCUCCGAUCACAUCGGUUUCAAGAGCUUCAGUCCAAUGUGCGCUCUCAGAAAUUGACAAAUCGUGGCCUUGGGUUCAAUGCUCGGUUGAGGCUCAACGCGGAACCAAACCAGAGCAAGUCCAGGCCUAGUUCAAAUGCAGGUCCUUCCUGGGUUUCAGAACACUGCCUCACGAAUUUAUUAUGCAGUCCUCAAAUUCGGUGGUCGUCGUCGAGGAGAGUGAGGAGUGUGGUGGCCGCUGGCUAGAGCUAGCUAGCCCUCCCGAUCUGUUUCAAUGGCCUCUUCAGACUCAGUGUAAGAGAGAAGGGUGGAUUUGGGCAGUGGCCAUGGCGAAUCUAGGCAUGGUGGAGGAGCUGGGCAGUGUCGUGGGGAGGGGGGAGGAGCUGGGCAGUGCCGCGGGGAGGGGGGAGGAGCUGGGCAGUGAGCUUGGAGAAGGGGAGAGAGAGAGAGAGAGAGAGAGAGAGAAGGCCAGAUUCAGAUGAAUUUGAU